UACACUCCUACGGGAGGCAGCAGUGGGGAAUUUUGGACAAUGGGCGAAAGCCUGAUCCAGCAAUGCCGCGUGUGUGAAGAAGGCCUUCGGGUUGUAAAGCACUUUUGUCCGGAAAGAAAUCCUUGGCUCUAAUACAGUCGGGGGAUGACGGUACCGGAAGAAUAAGCACCGGCUAACUACGUGCCAGCAGCCGCGGUAAUACGUAGGGUGCGAGCGUUAAUCGGAAUUACUGGGCGUAAAGCGUGCGCAGGCGGUUUGCUAAGACCGAUGUGAAAUCCCCGGGCUCAACCUGGGAACUGCAUUGGUGACUGGCAGGCUAGAGUAUGGCAGAGGGGGGUAGAAUUCCACGUGUAGCAGUGAAAUGCGUAGAGAUGUGGAGGAAUACCGAUGGCGAAGGCAGCCCCCUGGGCCAAUACUGACGCUCAUGCACGAAAGCGUGGGGAGCAAACAGGAUUAGAAACCCGAGUAGUCCCA
rnacentral:rRNA from 1 species